CCCUACGGGGGGCAGCAGUGAGGAAUAUUGGUCAAUGGUCGGGAGACUGAACCAGCCAAGCCGCGUGAGGGAUGAAGGUACAGAGUAUCGUAAACCUCUUUUGUCAGGGAACAAAGGCGGGGACGUGUCCCCGGAUGAGUGUACCUGAAGAAAAAGCAUCGGCUAACUCCGUGCCAGCAGCCGCGGUAAUACGGAGGAUGCGAGCGUUAUCCGGAUUUAUUGGGUUUAAAGGGUGCGCAGGCGGCGAGUUAAGUCAGCGGUAAAAUUUCGGGGCUCAACCCCGCCAAGCCGUUGAAACUGGCUUG
rnacentral:rRNA from 1 species